rnacentral:rRNA from 1 species
AUAUACGACCGUACCGCAAACCGACACUGGUGCGCGAGAUGAGUAUUCUAAGGCGCUUGAGAGAACUCAGGAGAAGGAACUCGGCAAAUUGACACCGUAACUUCGGAAGAAGGUGUGCCCUAUUAGUGUGUAGUGAACAACGAAGCAUGAAUGGGUUGCAAAAAAUCGGUGGCUGCGACUGUUUAUUAAAAACACAGCACUCUGCAAACACGAAAGUGGACGUAUAGGGUGUGACGCCUGCCCGGUGCUGGAAGAUUAAAUGAUGGGGUGCAAGCUCUUGAUUGAAGUCCCAGUAAACGGCGGCCGUAACAAUAACGGUCCUAAGGUAGCGAAAUUCCUUGUCGGGUAAGUUCCGACCUGCACGAAUGGCGUAACGAUGGCCACACUGUCUCCUCCUGAGACUCAGCGAAGUUGAAAUGUUUGUGAUGAUGCAAUCUCCCCGCGGAAAGACGGAAAGACCCCAUGAACCUUUACCGUAGCUUUGUAUUGGACUUUGAACAGAUCUGUGUAGGAUAGGUGGGAGGCUUUGAAGCAGGGUCGCUAGAUCUUGUGGAGCCAACGUUGAAAUACCACCCUGGUGUGUUUGAGGUUCUAACCUAGGUCCAUUAUCUGGAUCGGGGACAGUGCAUGGUAGGCAGUUUGACUGGGGCGGUCUCCUCCCAAAGCGUAACGGAGGAGUUCGAAGGUACGCUAGUUACGGUCGGACAUCGUGACGAUAGUGCAAUGGCAUAAGCGUGCUUAACUGCGAGACUGACAAGUCGAGCAGAUGCGAAAGCAGGACAUAGUGAUCCGGUGGUUCUGUAUGGAAGGGCCAUCGCUCAACGGAUAAAAGGUACUCUGGGGAUAACAGGCUGAUACCGCCCAAGAGUUCAUAUCGACGGCGGUGUUUGGCACCUCGAUGUCGGCUCAUCUCAUCCUGGGGCUGUAGCCGGUCCCAAGGGUAUGGCUGUUCGCCAUUUAAAGAGGUACGUGAGCUGGGUUUAAAACGUCGUGAGACAGUUUGGUCCCUAUCUUCCGUGGGCGCUGCAGAUUUGAGGAAGCCUGCUCCUAGUACGAGAGGACCGGAGUGGACACACCUCUGGUGUAUCGGUUGUCACGCCAGUGGCAUUGCCGAGUAGCUAAGUGUGGAAGAGAUAACCGCUGAAAGCAUCUAAGCGGGAAACUCGUUUCAAGAUGAGAUCUGCCGGGGCCUUGAGCCCCCUAAAGAGUCGUUCAAGACCAGGACGUUGAUAGGUCAGGUGUGGAAGC